UACGGGGGGGGUAAGCGUUGUUCGGAAUUACUGGGCGUAAAGGGCGCGUAGGCGGCCAUCUAAGUCAGACGUGAAAUCCCUCGGCUCAACCGGGGAACUGCGUCUGAUACUGGGUGGCUUGAAUUCGGGAGAGGGAUGCGGAAUUCCAGGUGUAGCGGUGAAAUGCGUAGAUAUCUGGAGGAACACCGGUGGCGAAGGCGGCAUCCUGGACCGAGAUUGACGCUGAGGCGCGAAAGCCAGGGGAGCAAACGGG
rnacentral:rRNA from 1 species